AAAAAGAGAAAGUGAACCUUGUAAAAAUUUUAACUUUAAAAAGAACAGACCUGUGAUCAUCCUUUCCCCGCUGACCGAUCGACACUACUUAUAUUAAUUGGAAUUCCGUGUGUGAUUAAAUUCGAUGGAAUCAUUCUCGAUGGACAACAACGGAGUCGACAUCAUCAUCAGAUAUGUACGAAUUUGAAGGAGCUCAGUGUCCUACUUAAAGAACUCAUUAAUUCAACAACGGAGAAGUUAAUAUUUUUAUCGCCGUCUAUUUAUAUAAUAACUAAACGAAUGAACCGCAACGGUUUAUUACGUCGUUAAUUUCCUGUACCUGUGGGGAGUGCCGAGCAAAGUGUCGUGAGAAUGUGAAUUAGCAUACCGCUUUUUUCCAUAUUUUUAGGCGUGUUAUCUCAGGUAGUUUCAGGUAGUUAUCUCAAGUUGAAUCGUUGUAACAGACAAUAAUUGUGAUCGGAUUUAAUCUCUCUGUGGGUGAGUUAGUUGAUCACCAGUCGUAUUGACCAAUAAGAUACGGAGAAUGGAAAUGAUCUUCAUUAUAGAUUUAACUUUCAUCUUUUCCACAGAGAAUCUCUAUAUUGGAUACUACAUGUAUAUCACUCGGGAUUAGGGGUUAAAUUAGUCAGUUAAAUUGGACUAUCCGGCCGAUGCUAAAUACAUUAGCAUAAUGCGGUUAUCGCUUGAAAUUUUUUCGGAUAAAAUUGCGCAUUAAUUCGCGUGUGGAACUUUGGAAGUGAUAUAAAGUAUCGCGAUCGUAGUUUUCUGAAUGUUCGCGAGAUUUCUGAAAAAAUGUUGAAAGAUUUAUUAGAAUUAACAAUCCCCUCGCUCAGCUUGAGAGGAGAAGAUUUAGGAAAGGCAUUAGGUGGAUCAACCUUGCGGAUGGCCUCGGCGCGGCUGCUGUUCCGGAGAGUGAAACGUUAAAGUGCUGGGAAAAAAGCAAGGGUACUAGCAAUUCACCGUGAUUUAUCUAGGAUCCUUAACCUCGAUUGAAUCCGAUACAUUCGACGGAAGUAGAAAUCGUGAUUUCAGGCGUGUAUUUUUUAUACAUGGCAGUUUAGUUGCGUAAUUGGCACGACACACGAUUGAUGUAAAAUUAUUUUAGUAAAUGUAGUUAGAUGUUACUAAUGAUUAAAGUGAAGCUAGUAAUAAUAAU